AGCCAUGAUGAAAUGAAGAAAAUGGUGCAGUUUAACGGUGUCAUGAGGAGCGUGUUAUAUUGUUUCAAAACUUAUGGAAUAUGCAUCAGUCUCGCAGAAAGCACUCUGGGAUGAGUUUCACAAUAGGAUUGGUUUCAAGAGCUGAAAUUUCACCUGAAAAAGUGGAGUUUACAGACAAAAAGCCCACUGUUACUUCCUCUGUGUAUCAUCAAAGCACAGUCUGGCAUAAUGAAACAUUUAAGUGUUAAACUACAUGUUUGGAGCCUCUGAAAAGAUACUGACAUUUCCUUUGUCCACAGGUCCUUUCACGGCUGGAUGCAUGUGCUGUACAUCCAAGAUGCUAUGAGAGCAUGAGCACAGUGCUGAGAGGUAACUGUCACCUCCUCAAAGGUGCUUGGGUCAGGGAGCAAUGCACCAGCCUGAGUGAAGGGAGCAGGUGGAAGUGUGAGGUGGAUUCAGAUCUUACUCUUGAAGUACAAGGCAGGCUGAACCACUCUCUGCCAUCCCUCAUAUGGUCCAUGCUCCAGCCUUAACCACUGCAAGGAUCUUCUCUGGUCACCAGAUAGAUUAUGCAUCUUCUUGCUUCUUUACGUGGUUUCACUGUAUUAUGACUUAAAGGAGGUGACAUCCUGGAAAGGGUGUGAAGAAAUGAAGAUCCAGUCCUGGCUGCCAAGGGGACAAAACUCCAUGCACUGCCAUGUUGUCUGUUGACUGUGGACAGAAGACAGCUGGCUAUGCUGUGAAUUGAUAUGAGGCACAACUUUUAUACCAUGAAGUCCUCAGAAGCAAAUUUCUUUGUGAAGACACUAAAAAUAUACUUUUUCAAAGGCUGAAAGAGUCCAAAGCCUUUAUGUGACUUUCAGAGAUGCCAUCUCCAGGGCCUCAAUUUCACAUGACUGUUCCAUUACCACAGCAAAACAAUACUUAAAAUGCUUUGGCCAUGGAGAAGGCAGCACAUAAAAGGAUGUUCAAGCAUAUUUUUGGUUUAUUCAUUCUACUACAGGCACUAGAGCAGAUGAAUGUAAGAGGAGAAACUUGCUUUAUAGUAAAGAAAGAGACCUACAGCAGUGACAAAUUAAUUUCCAUCCUGUCAUGACUCAUGAGACAGCACUACAGUAAAAUUAACAAAACAUCAGUUGAAGUGGUAGUAAUUAUUUCCAUUGCUAAUACUGACUCUAGCUUAACAAGAUUUACUGACUUUGUUACACUGUCAUAAAAUAAACAGUAAUAUAGAAACAAA